rnacentral:rRNA from 1 species
UACAGAGGUCUCAAGCGUUGUUCGGAUUCAUUGGGCGUAAAGGGUGCGUAGGCGGCGCCGUAAGUCAGGUGUGAAAUCUCGGGGCUCAACCCCGAAACUGCACUUGAUACUGCGGUGCUCGAGGACUCGAGAGGAGAUUGGAAUUCACGGUGUAGCAGUGAAAUGCGUAGAUAUCGUGAGGAAGACCAGUGGCGAAGGCGGAUCUCUGGAGAGUUCCUGACGCUGAGGCACGAAGGCCAGGGGAGCAAACGGG